rnacentral:rRNA from 1 species
UAGGGCGCAAGCGUUGUCCGGAAUUAUGGGCGUAAAGAGCUCGUAGGCGGUUUGUCGCGUCUGCUGUGAAAGCCCGGGGCUUAACCCCGGGUGUGCAGUGGGUACGGGCAGACUAGAGUGCAGUAGGGGAGACUGGAAUUCCUGGUGUAGCGGUGGAAUGCGCAGAUAUCAGGAGGAACACCGAUGGCGAAGGCAGGUCUCUGGGCUGUUACUGACGCUGAGGAGCGAAAGCAUGGGGAGCGAACAGGAUUAGAUACCCUGGUAGUCCAUGCCGUAAACGUUGGGCACUAGGUGUGGGGGACAUUCCACGUUUUCCGCGCCGUAGCUAACGCAUUAAGUGCCCCGCCUGGGGAGUACGGCCGCAAGGCUAAAACUCAAAGGAAUUGACGGGGGCCCGCACAAGCGGCGGAGCAUGCGGAUUAAUUCGAUGCAACGCGAAGAACCUUACCAAGGCUUGACAUAUACCGGAUCGUUCCAGAGAUGGUUCUUCCCCUUUGGGGUCGGUAUACAGGUGGUGCAUGGUUGUCGUCAGCUCGUGUCGUGAGAUGUUGGGUUAAGUCCCGCAACGAGCGCAACCCUCGUUCCAUGUUGCCAGCACGUGAUGGUGGGGACUCAUGGGAGACUGCCGGGGUCAACUCGGAGGAAGGUGGGGAUGACGUCAAAUCAUCAUGCCCCUUAUGUCUUGGGCUUCACGCAUGCUACAAUGGCCGGUACAAAGGGUUGCGAUACUGUGAGGUGGAGCUAAUCCCAAAAAGCCGGUCUCAGUUCGGAUUGAGGUCUGCAACUCGACCUCAUGAAGUCGGAGUCGCUAGUAAUCGCAGAUCAGCAACGCUGCGGUGAAUACGUUCCCGGGCCUUGUACACACCGCCCGUCAAGUCACGAAAGUCGGUAACACCCGAAGCCGGUGGCCCAACCCUUGUGGAGGGAGCCGUCGAAGGUGAC